rnacentral:rRNA from 1 species
CCCUUAGAUGUUCUGGGCGGCCCGCGCACUACAAUGGCGUGUGCAGCGAGUGCCGAAGUAGAGUUUUCCGAGGUAUUCUUGCAAUGCUCGUUUUGAUGGGGAUAGACCCUUGCAACUGUUGGUUUUGAACGAGGAAUUCCUUGUAAGCAUGGUUUAUCAUCCGACGCUGAAUGCGUCCCUGCCCUUUGUACACACCGCCCGUCGCUCCUACCGAUGAGUCGUCCGGUGAAGUUCGUAGACCUCGUGAUCGCGGAUCACUGGGGGAAGCAAAAUGAACCUCGCGGUUUAGAGGAAGUAAAAGUCGUAACA